AGGCAUUCUUGAUGGUAUAUUAAAUCUUGGUUUGAUGGGUACUUUUGUGAAGAAACUAUUGAGUCCCAGGCCUGAUGAGUAUUACACGGCAUGAGAAAUUCAAGAAUUGAAUGAGAAGAGUGAAGACGACUAGCAGGUUGGGUUCUCUAAGGAAUGCCCAUACGAACUCGCUAUGGCGAGGAUGACUCAAUGAAUGGACAUGUCGAUCAUGCUCAGCCAGUUGCGCAGUUAGAAGUUGGAAUCGAACCCGAAAAGUUUGUGGAGUCCGUGCUGACAACCCUACCAGCUGGGAGGGACAUGAGAAGAACUAUUUUUUCUCCUGUUGCAACACACUGGCCGAAGGUUACAAGUGUGCAAACCCGUAUUGUUGUUUAUAAAGAUGGAAUUUAUUAGUCGUUUUUGGCUAUCGAAUUGGUGAUGCAAUCCGUCCCCACAUCUGUGUCUUCACCACUUCGUCCUCCCACACAAUCAGCAGAACAGAGCAGCUGCAGCGAUUUGGCCAUUCAUCUCUUCGAGUGAUUCAAACCUAGGAAGCCUGCUACUUGCGCAAGCAACAUGACUCUUCCUUCAAGGAAAUCUAAUUAUCUAGGUAUAUGGAAAGGAGGCAAAUUAUGUAACUAUUUGGGCGUACUCAUGCUCUGCUAUGCAGAUUGAGGAGAAAGAGUUAUUUUAUUGUGAUGAUGAUUAAUUUUUUCAUCUUGUGAUCUUCUUUGCUCAAGUCAGCCUACAUAUGUUAUCUGUUUGUGUCUCGGAGCGCGGCUGCGGUGAGGGGCUGCACGGCGUGGAAGUUGGGGAGGAGGAGCGCCACGGCGAGG